GAUGAACGCUGGCGGCGUGCCUAAUACAUGCAAGUCGAGCGAACGGACGAGAAGCUUGCUUCUCUGAUGUUAGCGGCGGACGGGUGAGUAACACGUGGAUAACCUACCUAUAAGACUGGGAUAACUUCGGGAAACCGGAGCUAAUACCGGAUAAUAUUUUGAACCGCAUGGUUCAAAAGUGAAAGACGGUCUUGCUGUCACUUAUAGAUGGAUCCGCGCUGCAUUAGCUAGUUGGUAAGGUAACGGCUUACCAAGGCAACGAUGCAUAGCCGACCUGAGAGGGUGAUCGGCCACAGUGGAACUGAGACACGGUCCAGACUCCUACGGGAGGCAGCAGUAGGGAAUCUUCCGCAAAGGGCGAAAGCCUGACGGAGCAACGCCGCGUGAGUGAUGAAGGUCUUCGGAUCGUAAAACUCUGUUAUUAGGGAAGAACAUAUGUGUAAGUAACUGUGCACAUCUUGACGGUACCUAAUCAGAAAGCCACGGCUAACUACGUG
rnacentral:rRNA from 1 species